CCUUCUCAGUUGAAAAAAAAAAAAAAAAUAAAAAAAAAGCAAGACACGACGAGUCGUUCACAACCUACAAGUUGCCAUUUUGAGAUUUCUCUUGCCCUAAUUUCCUUCUGUGUUUCCCAAUUACCAGUCAAGCUUCAACUCCCAUCUAGCUUUUCUUUUAAUUCGGUUCACUCAGUCUCCGGUAGUUUAAGAUUGUGUGUGGAAUUGGAUCAGAGGCUGAGCUAAAGAGAAAGAAAAGGAGUGAUUUAUAUAUUUAAAGGAGGGAAAAUGGCUGCCUUCAUCAAUCUACAGGAUUCCCCAAUGUUCCAGAAGGAGAUAUGUUCUCUUGAACAGAUAGCCGAGGAGUUGAAUGAUCGCUGCCAACAACUGUAUAAAGGGUGUAAGAGGUUUAUGGUAGCUCUUGGAGAUGCAUGCAGUGCAGACACCACUUUUGCUGAUUCCUUGGAAGCAUUUGGUGGUGGACAAGAUGACCCUGUUAGUGUAUCUAUAGGAGGCCCUGUCAUAUCCAAGUUCAUCAAUGCAUUUCGUGAGCUUUCUACAUAUAAAGAGCUUCUCCGUUCUCAAGUCGAGCACGUAUUAAUUGAUCGACUUGUGCACUUUAUGGAUGUUGAUCUACAAGAUGCUAAGGAGUCUCGCAAGCGCUUUGACAAAGCCUUUUAUGCUUAUGAUCAGUCACGUGAAAAGUUUGCAUCUUUGAAGAAAAAUACUCGUGGAGACAUUAUUGAAGAACUAGAAGAGGGUUUGCAGAAUUCCAAGUCAGCAUUCGAGAGAAGCCGCUUUAAUCUGGUUAGCGCACUCAUGAAUAUUGAAACGAAAAAGAAGUAUGAGUUCUUGGAAUCUAUAAGUGCAAUUAUGGAUGCUCACCUGAGAUAUUUUAAGCUGGGGUAUGACUUAUUUAGCCAAAUGGAGCCAUUUAUUCACCAGACUGGAGUCUUAUGGAUUGAAAGGAGUGCAUGCAUAUUAAACAUAAGAGCUUUUUGCUUGUUGUGGGAUAAGGUAUUAACAUAUGCUCAACAAUCAAAAGAGCUAUCUAAUAUUGAACAAGAUAAACUUGCAAAACGGAUUCAGGAAUUCAGGACCCAGGCUGAGUUAAACAGUAAUCUUGCUUCUAGCAAUAUAGAACCCUCAACAAGUGCUGAUGGUAUUCGUGUUGUUGGUAUGAGCUCUAAUAAAAACAUAGAAGCAAUUAUGCAGUCCACUUCAAAUGGAGAAGUCUUGACUAUCAAACAAGGAUAUCUGCUAAAGCGAUCUUCUAGUUUGAGGGGAGAUUGGAAGAGAAGGUUCUUUAUUCUGGACAGUCGAGGAAGUUUGUACUAUUACCGAAAUAAGGGCAUGAAGCCUAUGAGCUUCCAGCAUCUCUCAACUGCCUCAGUUGAACACAAUACUAGCGUCUUUGCUAGAUUUCGUUCAAGGCACAGCAGGGCAUCAUCAAUUAGUGAAGGAAGUCUAGGUUGCCGUAUUAUUGAUCUUCGUACUUCAACAAUAAAGAUGGAUGCAGAAGACACAGAUUUGCGGCUAUGCUUCAGAAUAAUUUCCCCGUUGAAAAUGUACACAUUGCAGGCUGAAAAUGGAGCAGAUAGAAUGGAUUGGGUAAACAAAAUUACAGGAGUAAUUGCAUCUCUUUUUAACAUUCAUUUCCUGCAACAGCCACAUCCAAGAACGAAAAAUCUGGAACAUAGUGUGUGUACAAUUGGUACUUCAUGUGCUGUUGAACAAGUAGAUAGUCAUCAACAUUUAGAAGCUGACAUGAACAUUAAUAAAGCUGAUUGUGCUUCUUGGAUUCUUAGAGAAAUUCCAGGAAAUGAUUUUUGUGCUGAGUGCAGUGCUCCUGAACCUGAUUGGGCAUCCCUUAAUCUCGGUAUAUUGUUGUGCAUCGAGUGCUCUGGUGUUCAUCGGAAUCUUGGCGUUCAUAUUUCUAAGGUGAGAUCUCUAACAUUAGACGUCAAGGUUUGGGAACCUACAGUCUUGGACUUAUUUCACUCUCUUGGUAAUGCUUAUUGCAACUCCAUUUGGGAAGGAUUGCUUUUAGUAAAGAACGAAAGAGUGGACAAAUCAAAUUUUAUUGCAUCAUUAAUUGAAAAACCAGGUCCAAGAGAUGCCAUUUGCUAUAAAGAGAAGUAUAUUCAGGCAAAGUAUGUGGGAAAAUUGCUAGUCAUCAGAGAAGCAAGUGAAUCUGGCAUUUUCUCUCACAAAUCCAGGCUAUGGCAAGCCGUCAAGACAAACAAUUUGCGAGAAGUAUAUCGUUAUAUUGUGAUUUCAGACGCAAACAUUGUUAAUACCAACUUUGAUGAAGUUGUUGGCAUUGAAUCAUUUCACCAUAUCGAUGAGAGAGAAAAUUCUGAGUUCGGUUCUCAUCCAGCAGAAAUGAAAGACUACGAUCCAGCAAGCUGCCAGAGAAUCAAUGAUUCCAAGGAUCCAGGGAAUUGUCUUCAAGGUUGUUCAUUGAUGCAUCUAGCAUGUCACUAUGGCAACCCAGUAAUGCUUGAACUGUUGCUGCAGUUUGGUGGUGAUGUGAACUUGGGCGACUUCCAUGGAAGAACUCCUUUGCACCAUUGUAUUUCUAAAAGGGACUAUCCAAUGGCAAAGUUUCUGCUUCGAAGGAAUUGAAAACUGGGAGAACGAUGCAGUGGUAGAUUGCGAGAUGGCCUGUAUCUGCUGGAUGACAAUAGGUGCCUCCCCAACAGUAAGAGAUGGUGGCGGACUAAGUGUACUGGAAAGGGCAAUGGAGAUGGGAGCUAUAACAGAUGAGGAAUUAUUUGUCAUGCUAGCUGAUAGGCAGUGAAAUGGACAAACGAAAUGAUUAACCUGUUCAGUGCCUCUUGUGUUGGUCACCAAUCAUCGUCAUCUUGAAGAAAACCUGUUACCUGUCUCAAUCUUUUAAAAUUAGGAAAUUUCCAAGUGAUCCAAAUUCUUUGCGAAUAUAUGUAGUGUUUAUCAAAAUUUUUAUUUCAUGUUGUAAAAUGAAUUCUGGGAUUGUCAUCAUUCUGCUAGCGUGAAUUCCUUUACACCAAAGCUCUGCUGAAACAGAUGACAUGCUUUAUGUAAAAUAACAAUUUUUUUGGGGGGUUACAUUUUUAAAGUAACACUUUGAUCUUCUUGUUUGUGCAAAGUGUCACAGAGGACGUUGGCAUGUAUUGAAAUCCCACAUUGGGUGUGUCCUUGGAGAUACAGGCUAUAUAUUUUAAGGACAAAACUGUAAAGUUGGCUAUGUUAGCCAUGUAUCCAACCAUUAAUACGAAGAACUUGUGCGCUUGACAAGAUGAACAAUUUCUUUAGGAAUUUGUAUGUACUAGGCUUGUUAUCAAAAUUGGUAUUUUAUCUAAUUGAAUAAAGAUAUGAAUAUAUAACUUUUUUUAUA